rnacentral:rRNA from 1 species
UAGGGAAUCUUCCGCAAUGGGCGAAAGCCUGACGGAGCAACGCCGCGUGAGUGAUGAAGGUUUUCGGAUCGUAAAGCUCUGUUGCCAAGGAAGAACGGCUCGGAGAGUAACUGCUCUGAGCAUGACGGUACUUGAGAAGAAAGCCCCGGCUAACUACGUGCCAGCAGCCGCGGUAAUACGUAGGGGGCAAGCGUUGUCCGGAAUUAUUGGGCGUAAAGCGCGCGCAGGCGGUCUGUUAAGUCUGGUGUUUAAUCCCGGGGCUCAACCCCGGUUCGCAUUGGAAACUGGCAGACUUGAGUGCAGGAGAGGAAAGCGGAAUUCCACGUGUAGCGGUGAAAUGCGUAGAGAUGUGGAGGAACACCAGUGGCGAAGGCGGCUUUCUGGACUGUAACUGACGCUGAGGCGCGAAAGCGUGGGGAGCAAACAGG